ACGAACGCUGGCGGCAUGCCUAACACAUGCAAGUCGAACGAACCCUUCGGGGUUAGUGGCGCACGGGUGCGUAACGCGUGGGAAUCUGCCCUUUGCUUCGGAAUAACUCAGGGAAACUUGUGCUAAUACCGGAUGAUGUCUUCGGACCAAAGAUUUAUCGGCAAGGGAUGAGCCCGCGUAGGAUUAGGUAGUUGGUGGGGUAAAGGCCUACCAAGCCGACGAUCCUUAGCUGGUCUGAGAGGAUGAUCAGCCACACUGGGACUGAGACACGGCCCAGACUCCUACGGGAGGCAGCAGUGGGGAAUAUUGGACAAUGGGCGCAAGCCUUAUCCAGCAAUGCCGCGUGAGUGAUGAAGGCCCUCGGGUCGUAAAGCUCUUUUACCAGGGAUGAUAAUGACAGUACCUGGAGAAUAAGCUCCGGCUAACUCCGUG
rnacentral:rRNA from 1 species